rnacentral:miRNA from 1 species
GGUUGGUGCAAAAGUAACUGCGGUUUUUGCUACUACUGAAAGUCAUGGCAAAAACCACAGUUACUUUUGUACCA